ensembl:snRNA U6 U6 spliceosomal RNA
GUGCUUGCUUUGGUAGCACAUAUACUAAAAGUGGAAUGAUACAAAGAAGAUUAGCACAGCCCCUGUGCAAGGAUAAUGGGCAAUUUUGUGAAGUAUUCCACAUUUUU